GUCAGAAGAGGUGACAGUUCUCCCCGAGCAGGCACUGCUGUCCUCUCCACUAGGAUACAAGCCGUCUGAGAAUGGGGACUUUGGUUCAGUUUGCUCCCUGCGGAAUCUCCAGCACCAUGAACACACAGUGGGCACUGGAGCCCUACUUGUUGAUUGGCUGAAUGAAAACAGCCAUCACGGCAGCUCCCAUCUGAGUACCCGACUCUGUGUGGACGGCGGGCAAAGUCCUUUCUCAUGUGUCAUUGAGGUCGGCAGUUUUGUCGUUUCACUUUCACAGACGAAGGGCUGGAAUGAAGACAGGGUGCUGGGGGACCAGCUUUCACCACGACAUUGAAGACAACACCCACGGGGCCGGUGGAACAACAAGACAGAGGGCUGGGUCCUGCCCGGGUGACGUCAUGGAGAGAGCUGCCCACCUCCCAGCUAUUAAGUGAAAGAGAAAUAAACAUCCACUUUGUCUGA